GACGUAGGAGGCGAGCGUUGUUCGGAUUCAUUGGGCGUAAAGGGUGCGUAGGCGGCGCGGUAAGUCGGGUGUGAAAUCUCGGAGCUUAACUCCGAAACUGCAUUCGAUACUGCCGUGCUUGAGGACUGGAGAGGAGACUGGAAUUUACGGUGUAGCGGUGAAAUGCGUAGAUAUCGUAAGGAAGACCAGUGGCGAAGGCGGGUCUCUGGACAGUUCCUGACGCUGAGGCACGAAGGUCAGGGGAGCAAACGGG
rnacentral:rRNA from 1 species